UGGUGAUUUUAGGCCCCUGCGAUCUGCUGGCCGCCCAAAGGAUCAACGCGAAGAAAGAGAAAAUCACAAUGAAAGAGAGGAGAAACCCAAGGAAGUAAAGCUGCCGUCGAAACCUCUUCCCCUCCUCCUCAUCCUCAAGGAGGCCUUCCUCCUCUAUGACCGUGAACUCCUUCCAUGUCUUCUCGCUCUUCCGGCGGCCACCCUUACCUCCAUCAUUGC
rnacentral:lncRNA from 1 species